AACGCACCUUGCGCCCGCCAGUAUUCUGGCGGGCAUGCCUGUCCGAGCGUCAUUUCCACCAUCAAGCCCACGGCUUGUGUUGGGGCCCUGCGGCCGCCCGCAGCCCCCUAAAUGCAGUGGCGGGCUCGCCGGUACCCCGAGCGUAGUAGUAACCUCCUCGCUCCGGGCGUGCCGGCGGGCGCCUGCCGUUAAACAACCCACAACCCCAAGGUUGACCUCGGAUCAGGUAGGAAUACCCGCUGAACUUAA
rnacentral:misc_RNA from 1 species